GGGCCUAUAGCUCAGUGGUAGAGCCCCCGGCUCAUAACCGGUUGGUCCUUGGUUCGAAUCCAAGUAGGCCCACCA
rnacentral:tRNA from 1 species